UCUCAGCGAUGCGGCAACAAUAGCAGUCGGGCCCUCGCCCCGCCGGCCGGCCCAGCACAGCUCGCAGGCCCGCGCCUUCCCGCCAAUGGCAGCGCCGCUACCGUCCGCCCACCCGCCCGCUCGCCAGCGCGGCACCCAACCGAAUGGCUGCGCGGGCACAGCGGCCAAUCGGCGAGGGGCGGGAGGCGGGGCCCGGCUACGGAUAGCCAAUCACACGGCACGAAGCAAGGAGGCGGGCGAAGGAGUGAGCGAGCAAGUCACUGAAGAUAUCCCAGUGAUGCCAGCAGAAGAUGUGCUGGAGUACAGAGGCGUGUGGCUGUGCAGCAUGGGGAGAGGGCAUUCCUGUGUGUGA
rnacentral:lncRNA from 1 species